rnacentral:rRNA from 1 species
AUGAAUAAGGCAGGGGCGGGGACGGCGAAGGAGGCGGCGGCGGUGGGGCAGGUGAAGGCAGAGCUGGAGGACGCGGGGAAGGCGGCCGGGCGGGCGGUGGCGGUGGCGGCCGCGCCGGCGCUGAGCCCGCUGAGCGAGACGCUGUGGCGGGAGAAGGCGGCGGUGGAGUUCCUCGGGGACGUGUCGGCGCGGCUGGCGUGGAGGGACCUCACGGUCACCGUCGCGCUCGGCAGCGGCGACACGCAGACCGUGCUCGAGGCGCUCACGGGGUACGCCGAGCCGGGCACCAUCACCGCGCUCAUGGGGCCCUCCGGCUCCGGCAAGUCCACGCUGCUCGACGCGCUCGCCGGCCGCCUCGCCGCCAACGCCUUCCUCUCCGGGACCAUCCUGCUCAACGGCCGCAAGGCCAACCUCUCCUUCGGCGCCGCGGCCUAUGUGACGCAGGACGACAACUUGAUCGGCACUCUGACGGUGAGGGAGACCAUCUCGUACUCGGCGCGCCUUCGGCUCCCCGACAACAUGCCCAUGGAUGAGAAGCGUGCCUUGGUGGAGGGCACCAUCGUGGAGAUGGGGCUCCAGGACUGCGCAGACACGGUCAUCGGCAAUUGGCACCUGAGGGGGGUCAGCGGCGGCGAGAAGAGGAGGGUCAGCAUUGCCCUGGAGAUACUCAUGAGGCCUAGGCUGCUCUUCCUGGAUGAGCCCACCAGUGGCCUCGACAGUGCUUCGGCGUUCUUCGUGACACAGACUCUGCGUGGGCUGGCGAGGGAUGGCCGGACCGUGAUCGCGUCCAUCCACCAGCCCAGCAGCGAGGUCUUCGAGCUUUUCGAUCGCCUCUAUCUUCUCUCGGGGGGCAAAACAGUCUACUUUGGGCAGGCUUCCGAGGCUUGCGAGUUCUUUGCCCAAGCUGGAUUCCCAUGCCCACCGCUGCGCAACCCGUCGGAUCAUUUCCUCCGGUGCAUAAACAGAGACUUCGACAAGGUGAAGGCCACUCUGAAAGGAUCAAUGAAGAUGAGAUUUGAGAGGUCCGACGAUCCCCUCGAGCACAUCACGACUUCGGAUGCGAUCAGAAGGCUGUUCAGCUACUACCAGCACUCGCAGCACUACUUGACGGCGCGGCAGAAGGUCGACGAGAUGGCACGGGUGAAAGGGACGGUCCUGGAUGCAGGGGGGAGCCAGGCCAGCUUUGGGAUGCAGGCCGUCACGCUCACCAAGCGAUCGUUCGUCAACAUGUCGAGGGACUUUGGGUACUACUGGCUGAGGCUUGUCAUCUACAUUGUGGUCACCGUCUGCAUUGGGUCCAUCUACCUCAACGUCGGCACCAAAUACAACUCCAUCCUGGCACGGGGCGCGUGCGCGUCCUUCAUCUUCGGCUUCGUCACGUUCAUGUCGAUCGGAGGGUUCCCGUCUUUCGUGGAGGACAUGAAGGUGUUUCAGAGGGAGCGGCUGAACGGGCACUAUGGCGUGCUGGCGUUCGUGAUCAGCAACACGCUGUCGGCGAUGCCGUUCCUGAUCCUCAUCACCUUCCUGUCGGGGACGCUGUGCUACUUCAUGGUGCGCCUCCACCCGGGCUUCAUGCACUACCUCUUCUUUGUGCUCUGCCUCUACGCCAGCGUCACCGUCGUCGAGAGCCUCAUGAUGGCCAUCGCCAGCAUCAUCCCCAACUUCCUCAUGGGCAUCAUCAUCGGCGCAGGGAUACAGGGGAUAUUCAUGCUGGUGUCGGGGUACUUCAGGCUCCCGCACGACAUCCCGAAGCCCUUCUGGAGGUACCCCAUGUCCUACAUCAGCUUCCACUACUGGGCGCUGCAGGGGCAGUACCAGAACGACCUGGUGGGGCUGGUGUUCGACAACCAGGACGAGGAGCUGCCCAAGAUCCCGGGGGAGUACAUCCUGGAGAACGUGUUCCAGAUCGACGUCAGCCGGUCCAAGUGGCUGGACCUGUCCGUGCUCUUCGGCAUGAUCGUCAUCUACCGCCUGCUCUUCUUCGCCAUGAUCAAGGUCAGCGAGGACGUGACGCCGUGGGUGCGCGGAUACAUCGCCAGGAGGAGGGUGCAGCACAGGCGCAGAGAGGCGGAGCUCGCCAUGGUCCGGACGCCGUCGCUGCGCGGCUACGUCGUCGACGCCGCGCCGGAGCUGCCGGCCGAUCGUCCGUGA